rnacentral:rRNA from 1 species
GGUGCUUGCAUCAUGAUUUACAUUUGAGUGAGUGGCGAACUGGUGAGUAACACGUGGGAAACCUGCCCAGAAGCGGGGGAUAACACCUGGAAACAGAUGCUAAUACCGCAUAACAACUUGGACCGCAUGGUCCGAGCUUGAAAGAUGGCUUCGGCUAUCACUUUUGGAUGGUCCCGCGGCGUAUUAGCUAGAUGGUGGGGUAACGGCUCACCAUGGCAAUGAUACGUAGCCGACCUGAGAGGGUAAUCGGCCACAUUGGGACUGAGACACGGCCCAAACUCCUACGGGAGGCAGCAGUAGGGAAUCUUCCACAAUGGACGAAAGUCUGAUGGAGCAACGCCGCGUGAGUGAAGAAGGGUUUCGGCUCGUAAAACUCUGUUGUUAAAGAAGAACAUAUCUGAGAGUAACUGUUCAGGUAUUGACGGUAUUUAACCAGAAAGCCACGGCUAACUACGUGCCAGCAGCCGCGGUAAUACGUAGGUGGCAAGCGUUGUCCGGAUUUAUUGGGCGUAAAGCGAGCGCAGGCGGUUUUUUAAGUCUGAUGUGAAAGCCUUCGGCUCAACCGAAGAAGUGCAUCGGAAACUGGGAAACUUGAGUGCAGAAGAGGACAGUGGAACUCCAUGUGUAGCGGUGAAAUGCGUAGAUAUAUGGAAGAACACCAGUGGCGAAGGCGGCUGUCUGGUCUGUAACUGACGCUGAGGCUCGAAAGUAUGGGUAGCAAACAGGAUUAGAUACCCUGGUAGUCCAUACCGUAAACGAUGAAUGCUAAGUGUUGGAGGGUUUCCGCCCUUCAGUGCUGCAGCUAACGCAUUAAGCAUUCCGCCUGGGGAGUACGGCCGCAAGGCUGAAACUCAAAGGAAUUGACGGGGGCCCGCACAAGCGGUGGAGCAUGUGGUUUAAUUCGAAGCUACGCGAAGAACCUUACCAGGUCUUGACAUACUAUGCAAAUCUAAGAGAUUAGACGUUCCCUUCGGGGACAUGGAUACAGGUGGUGCAUGGUUGUCGUCAGCUCGUGUCGUGAGAUGUUGGGUUAAGUCCCGCAACGAGCGCAACCCUUAUUAUCAGUUGCCAGCAUUAAGUUGGGCACUCUGGUGAGACUGCCGGUGACAAACCGGAGGAAGGUGGGGAUGACGUCAAAUCAUCAUGCCCCUUAUGACCUGGGCUACACACGUGCUACAAUGGAUGGUACAACGAGUUGCGAACUCGCGAGAGUAAGCUAAUCUCUUAAAGCCAUUCUCAGUUCGGAUUGUAGGCUGCAACUCGCCUACAUGAAGUCGGAAUCGCUAGUAAUCGCGGAUCAGCAUGCCGCGGUGAAUACGUUCCCGGGCCUUGUACACACCGCCCGUCACACCAUGAGA